rnacentral:rRNA from 1 species
AACGAACGCUGGCGGCAUGCCUAACACAUGCAAGUCGAACGAGACCUUCGGGUCUAGUGGCGCACGGGUGCGUAACGCGUGGGAACCUGCCCUUAGGUUCGGAAUAACUCCCCGAAAGGGGUGCUAAUACCGGAUAAUGUCUUCGGACCAAAGAUUUAUCGCCUUUGGAUGGGCCCGAGUUGGAUUAGCUAGUUGGUAGGGUAAAAGCCUACCAAGGCGACGAUCCAUAGCUGGUCUGAGAGGAUGAUCAGCCACACUGGGACUGAGACACGGCCCAGACUCCUACGGGAGGGAGCAGUGGGGAAUAUUGGACAGUGGGCGAAAGCCUGAGCCAGCAAUGCCGCGUGAGUGAUGAAGGCCUUAGGGUUGUAAAGCUCUUUUAACCGGGAUGAUAAUGACAGUACCGGGAGAAUAAGCACCGGCUAACUCCGUG